rnacentral:rRNA from 1 species
AGAGUUUGAUCCUGGCUCAGAAUCAACGCUGGCGGCGCGCCUAACACAUUCAAGUCGAGCGAGAAAGUGGGGCAACCCAUGAGUACAGCGGCGUACGGGUGAGUAACACGUGGGUAAUCUACCUCCUUGUGGGGAAUAACCCUGGGAAACCGGGGCUAAUACCGCAUAAGCCCGAGAGGGGAAAGCAGCAAUGCGCUGGGAGAGGAGCCCGCGGCCGAUUAGCUAGUUGGUGAGGUAACGGCCCACCAAGGCAAAGAUCGGUAGCCGGCCUGAGAGGGCACACGGCCACACUGGCACUGAAACACGGGCCAGACUCCUACGGGAGGCAGCAGUGGGGAAUCUUGCACAAUGGGGGAAACCCUGAUGCAGCGACGCCGCGUGAGCGAUGAAGCCCUUCGGGGUGUAAAGCUCUUUCGGCAGGGAAGAUGAUGACGGUACCUGCAGAAGCAGCUGCGGCUAACUACGUGCCAGCAGCCGCGGUAAUACGUAGGCAGCAAGCGUUGUUCGGAGUUACUGGGCGUAAAGGGUGUGUAGGCGGUCCUUUAAGUUUGGUGUGAAAUCUCCCGGCUCAACCGGGAGGGUGCGCCGAAUACUGAGGGGCUAGAGUGCGGGAGAGGAGAGUGGAAUUCCUGGUGUAGCGGUGAAAUGCGUAGAUAUCAGGAGGAACACCGGUGGUGUAAACGGCUCUCU